GAGAGUGCUUAUGUAAGUGAUUCUAAGCUGGUCCGAAUCAUCGCAUCUUCCGCAACCGAGAAUGAAGAGCAUCGAGAAGAGCAGUAAAUAGGUGGACAUCGUUGCACUGAUGAAUUAAAAACAAAUUAUUAACACUUUAUCUACCACCGAUGACUUAAUAAUAAUCAUUUAAAAGCCACAGAUCGACCUUUCAGCAGCAACAACUCAAGUUUCAAUAGCUAACUAGUUAGGGGAGAGAUGUACAUAAAUAAAUACAUAUUUAUUUUAUGUAAUAUUCUUCUUAGGCUACUAUUUGUACUUCAAUUUCACCGAUAUUCUGAUACGAUGGUUUCUUAUUUUCAGGCACUGCACGACUCUUUUCUAAUACGUUUUCGAUAGGAAACGUGUUGUGUUAAUCCCGUUUACGAGUAUAUACCUGAUUGCUUUGAUGGCUCCGAUAGUGUGUGUUCUCGAGCGAACCGACAACUGAACAUUCCAUCACCGUCUCACGAACUUUUAUUUGCCGGCUUACGGUGGAAAGCGUACGAAACGACAGUAGUUGAUUAUUAAUAAGUUGCUAGUAAGUGGAAUUUUAAUAAUUGAGAUACAUUGUUCAAGGUGUUACGUCUCUCGGAAAGUAAAUCUGGCGUAUGAUGUGGCAGAUCGUAAAUCACGCGCAUGAGGUCAGAAAAAAUCCAUUAAAAAUUAUGAAACAUGACUCAGUUUUAUUUUACAAAACAAUUGCCAUAAACUUGUAUUGCAGAUAAGGCAAUAAUGUUGAGAUUAUAAUCUGUUUAGAUAGUCCUGAAGGACAUCAACUUCGCAAAAUUAUAAACACGGUUCAACAAGAAUGUCAUAUUUACAUUGUGUUGUUCAGAAGUUCGCAUGUAUCCGACAGUAUAGCUAUUUAGCAUUACAAAUGUCUGAUACGUAA